rnacentral:rRNA from 1 species
CCUACGGGUGGCAGCAGUGAGGAAUAUUGGUCAAUGGGCGAGAGCCUGAACCAGCCAAGUCGCGUGAGGGAGUACUGCCCUAUGGGUUGUAAACCUCUUUUGUCGGGGAGCAAAAGCCGGACGUGUCCGGCUGUGAGAGUACCCGAAGAAAAAGCAUCGGCUAACUACGUGCCAGCAGCCGCGGUAAUACGGGGGAUGCGAGCGUUAUCCGGAUUUAUGGGGGUUAAAGGGUGCGCAGGGGGAUUGUUAAGUCAGCGGGAAAAUCGUGGGGCUCAACCCCAUCCAGCAGUUGAAACUGGGGAUCUAGAGUGUGCGAGAGGUAUGCGGAAUGCGUGGUGUAGCGGUGAAAUGCAUAGAUAUCACGCAGAACCCCGAUUGCGAAGGCAGCAUACCGGUGCACAACUGACGCUCAGGCACGAAAGCGUGGGUAUCGAACAGGAUUAGAUACCCUUGUAGUC